rnacentral:rRNA from 1 species
GAAUUAUUGGGCGUAAAGAGCUCGUAGGCGGUUUGUCGCGUCUGCCGUGAAAGUCCGGGGCUCAACUCCGGAUCUGCGGUGGGUACGGGCAGACUAGAGUGAUGUAGGGGAGACUGGAAUUCCUGGUGUAGCGGUGAAAUGCGCAGAUAUCAGGAGGAACACCGAUGGCGAAGGCAGGUCUCUGGGCAUUAACUGACGCUGAGGAGCGAAAGCAUGGGGAGCGAACAGGAUUAGAUACCCUGGUAGUCCAUGCCGUAAACGUUGGGCACUAGGUGUGGGGGACAUUCCACGUUUUCCGCGCCGUAGCUAACGCAUUAAGUGCCCCGCCUGGGGAGUACGGCCGCAAGGCUAAAACUCAAAGGAAUUGACGGGGGCCCGCACAAGCGGCGGAGCAUGCGGAUUAAUUCGAUGCAACGCGAAGAACCUUACCAAGGCUUGACAUGAACCGGUAAUACCUGGAGACAGGUGCCCCGCUUGCGGUCGGUUUACAGGUGGUGCAUGGUUGUCGUCAGCUCGUGUCGUGAGAUGUUGGGUUAAGUCCCGCAACGAGCGCAACCCUCGUUCUAUGUUGCCAGCACGUGAUGGUGGGGACUCAUAGGAGACUGCCGGGGUCAACUCGGAGGAAGGUGGGGACGACGUCAAAUCAUCAUGCCCCUUAUGUCUUGGGCUUCACGCAUGCUACAAUGGCCGGUACAAAGGGUUGCGAUACUGUGAGGUGGAGCUAAUCCCAAAAAGCCGGUCUCAGUUCGGAUUGGGGUCUGCAACUCGACCCCAUGAAGUCGGAGUCGCUAGUAAUCGCAGAUCA